UUGCAGGCCUCAUGCUGGGCAGAGCUAAGGAAAUUCAAUUUGUCUCCAAUCUUAUUUGAAUAUUCUUAUGCCUCCUACAAGUGCAGCAGCAGAAUCUCCACAAAUCUGGCUACAGAGUGCGGUGGCGCCAGCACAGAGCUCUGCUCAACGUCCCUCUGUGCUUUCACGAUGCUGAUGGAUUAUGAAGUCCACAGACAGCAAGGGCAGUAUCACUGCAGUGGCAGUCGCAGAUGGACUUUCAGUCGCCUCUAGGAGCUCCACCCCACAGAAACACAGACAGCAGCCAGUGGAAAUGUUCAGCUGAGUGUGAGGUGCCUGCACUGUGGGCCCAAGCCAGGAGCCCUGCCUGGUGAAGAGUAGCAGGUGGGAGCUCACAGGGAAGAGAGACUGAAAUUCUUUCCAUAUAUCCCCUGCUGUGUGCUGGAGGCAUCAGGGAAGUGACCAGGUCCCUUUGUUCCUUCUGCAGCCCAAGGGCAAUAAGGGUGGUAUUGCUGCAGCUGCAAUGGCAGAGGGGCUGUGGGUUGCCUCUGGGAUUUCCUCCCCAGAGAAGCACACAGCCAACACUGACUAAAAUGUUCAGGCAGGGCCAGGGUGGCUGUGCUCUGCCCAGUGAA